rnacentral:rRNA from 1 species
GACGAAGGAUGCAAGCGUUAUCCGGAUUCAUUGGGUUUAAAGGGCGCGUAGGUGGCCUUAUAAGUCAGUGGUGAAAUCUCUGGGCUUAACCCAGAAAUUGCCAUUGAUACUGUAGGGCUUGAGUACAGUUGCUGUGGGCGGAAUAUGACAUGUAGUGGUGAAAUGCGUAGAGAUCCGGAGGAACACCAGUGGCGAAGGCGACACGCUGGGCCAUACCUGACGCUAAAGCGCGACAGCAUGGGGAGCAAACGGG